rnacentral:rRNA from 1 species
CUACGGGCUGCUCCAGUGGGGAAUAUUGGACAAUGGGGGAAACCCUGAUCCAGCAAUGCCGCGUGUGUGAAGAAGGCCUUAGGGUUGUAAAGCACUUUCACCCGUGAAGAUGAUGACGGUAGCGGGAGAAGAAGCCCCGGCUAACUCCGUGCCAGCAGCCGCGGUAAUACGGAGGGGGCUAGCGUUGUUCGGAAUUACUGGGCGUAAAGCGCGCAUAGGCGGCGCAUCGAGUUAGGCGUGAAAGGCCUGGGCUUAACCUGGGAACUGCGCUUAAUACUGGUGUGCUUGAGUCCGGAAGGGGGUGGCGGAAUUCCCAGUGUAGAGGUGAAAUUCGUAGAUAUUGGGAAGAACACCGGUGGCGAAGGCGGCCACCUGGUCCGGAACUGACGCUGAGGUGCGAAAGCGUGGGGAGCAAACAGGAUUAGAUACCCGGGUAGUC